rnacentral:rRNA from 1 species
CUACGGGUUGCAGCAGUGGGGAAUAUUGCACAAUGGGCGCAAGCCUGAUGCAGCCAUGCCGCGUGUAUGAAGAAGGCCUUCGGGUUGUAAAGUACUUUCAGCGGGGAGGAAGGGAGUAAAGUUAAUACCUUUGCUCAUUGACGUUACCCGCAGAAGAAGCACCGGCUAACUCCGUGCCAGCAGCCGCGGUAAUACGGAGGGUGCAAGCGUUAAUCGGAAUUACUGGGCGUAAAGCGCACGCAGGCGGUUUGUUAAGUCAGAUGUGAAAUCCCCGGGCUCAACCUGGGAACUGCAUCUGAUACGGGCAAGCUUGAGUCUCGGAGAGGGGGGUAGAAUUCCAGGUGUAGCGGUGAAAUGCGUAGAGAUCUGGAGGAAUACCGGUGGCGAAGGCGGCCCCCUGGACUAAGACUGACGCUCAGGUGCGAAAGCGUGGGGAGCAAACAGGAUUAGAUACCCGCGUAGUC